CAUCACUCCCAUCCUGCAAGAACUCCACUGGCUUCCCAUCAAGUACAGGAUAGAAUACAAGAUCCUCCUCCAUACAUACAAAUCCAUACAUAAACUCUCACCCCCUUACCUCUCAGAUCUUCUCCACAUAGUCACCCCUUCCUGAUGUCUUCGCUCCUCCUCUUCUAUCCAUCUCUCUGUCCCUCCUGCCCGUCUCAGCACCAUAGCUCUGGAACGCACUUCCUGCUGACCUCCGCAAUACCGACUCUCUCCUCACCUUCAUCUCCAAACUCAAAACUCAUCUUUUCAGAACAUCAUACUCAGUGGAAACAAUAU